rnacentral:rRNA from 1 species
AGUGGACGCUGGCGGUAGGCCUAACACAUGCAAGUCGAACGGCAGCACAGUAAGAGCUUGCUCUUACGGGUGGCGAGUGGCGGACGGGUGAGGAAUACAUCGGAAUCUACUUUUUCGUGGGGGAUAACGUAGGGAAACUUACGCUAAUACCGCAUACGACCUACGGGUGAAAGCAGGGGAUCUUCGGACCUUGCGCGAUUGAAUGAGCCGAUGUCGGAUUAGCUAGUUGGCGGGGUAAAGGCCCACCAAGGCGACGAUCCGUAGCUGGUCUGAGAGGAUGGUCAGCCACACUGGAACUUAGACACGGUCCAGACUCCUACGGGAGGCAGCAGUGGGGAAUAUUGGACAAUGGGCGCAAGCCUGAUCCAGCCAUACCGCGUGGGUGAAGAAGGCCUUCGGGUUGUAAAGCCCUUUUGUUGGGAAAGAAAAGCAGCAGGUUAAUACCCCGCUGUUCUGACGGUACCCAAAGAAUAAGCACCGGCUAACUUCGUG